rnacentral:SRP_RNA from 1 species
GCUGGGCACAGUGGCACGUGCCUAUAGUCCGAGCUACUUGGGAGGCUGAGGCUGGAGGAUCUCUCAAGUCCAGGAGUUCUGGGCUGUAGUGCCCUACACCAAUCGGGUGUCCACACUAAGUUUGGCAUCAAUAUGGCGACCUCCCCCGGGAGUGGGGGACCACCAGGUUGCCUAAGGAGGGGUGAACUGGCCUAGGUCAGAAACUGAGCAGGUCAAAACUCCCGUGCUGAUCAGCAGUGGGAUCGCACCUGUGAAUAGCCACUGCACUUCAGCCUGGGCAACAUAGCGAGAUCCUGUCUCU